GCGCCUCGGCCGUGGAAGCGCGCGCUCGGCUUCCCGAAGCGCCCCUUUCCCCUUCGCGAGUAGAGCCUGGGUACAGAGUGUCACCAUCCUUUGCUUGAUUUCAUCAAACAAGCCUUCUGACACGUCUCCCAUCCUCUGACUUUCUCCUGGCUUCAGUCCAUCUUCUCCAGGAUGACCCAGACCUCAAACUUCAGGGCACCUGGAAGGAGUUAAUAAUCCUCUGGAGGAGGACCUUCAAGAUGGCAGAGGAGUAAGACAUGGAGAUCACCUUCCUCCCCACAAAUACAUCAAAAAUACCUCUGCAUGUGGAACAACUCCUACAGAACACCUACUGAACGCUGGCAGAAGACCUCAGACUUCCCAAAAGGCAAGAAACUCCCCACGUACCUGGGUAGGGCAAAAGAAAAAAGGAAAAACAGAGACAAAAGAAUAGGGACAGGACCUGCACCUUGGGGAGGGAGCUGUGAAGGAGGAAAAGUUUUCACACACUAG